UCUCUGCCGAUGAUGCCACCCGAGCCUUCCCGGCGAAGUUGCCACAGCCGACGGCGAGCCCUAGUUCUUCACCGUGCCUUAGUCCUCACCACCGGAUCUUAUUUUUUUCGCCAUCAGAAGCCGGCAGAGACGAAGAAGUGUAUCAAGAUGCGACAUUAGGUUGUUGAAGUAAAUUGGUUGUGGAAUUUUCUUCCGGCAGCAACCAUCUGUGGUUGAGAAUUGAACAGAGGAAGAAUUCCAAGAGGUGAGGUUCUGUGCACUGGGGUAUUCGGGUGGUGGACAACAUGUUUGAACAGGGCAGAGAGGUAAAUUCCAGUAGGGUUUCUUUACCGGCAGCACUUCAACCAGUAACCCUAUUGGCUGUGAACUUGAGGACCUGGUCGCGAGACAGUAUCUCGAUAUCGGAUUGGACCUUUCUAUUUGGAGGCGGGUACUUUUGACUUAUGUCAUUUGAUAUGCUUAGUAAUUAAAUUAACAGUUGCAUUAAUUGUGUUUCUUAUCUGUU